rnacentral:rRNA from 1 species
ACGGGAGGCAGCAGUGGGGAAUAUUGGGCAAUGGGCGAAAGCCUGACCCAGCAACGCCGCGUGAAGGAAGACGGUCUUCGGAUUGUAAACUUCUUUUAUGAGGGACGAAGGACGUGACGGUACCUCAUGAAUAAGCCACGGCUAACUACGUGACAGCAGCCGCGGUAAUACGUAGGUGGCAAGCGUUAUCCGGAUUUACUGGGUGUAAAGGGCGCGUAGGCGGGGAUGCAAGUCAGAUGUGAAAUCCAUGGGCUCAACCCAUGAACUGCAUUUGAAACUGUAGCUCUUGAGUGCGGGAGAGGUAGAUGGAAUUCCUAGUGUAGCGGUGAAAUGCGUAGAUAUUAGGAAGAACACCAGUGGCGAAGGCGAUCUACUGGACAGUAACUGACGCUGAGGCGCGAAAGCGUGGGGAGCAAACAGGAUUAGAUACCCUGGUA